rnacentral:rRNA from 1 species
GUGAGUAGUUCUAGAGUUUGUAGUCCUGGCGUCAGGAUGAACGCUGGCGGCGUGCUUAACACAUGCAAGUCGAACGAAGUGCUCUUGUUCAAUCCCUUCGGGGUGCGAACUUGAGUAUCUUAGUGGCGGACGGGUGAGUAACGCGUGGGUAACCUGCCUUAUGCAGGGGGAUAACAGUUAGAAAUGACUGCUAAUACCGCAUAAGCGCACAGUAUCGCAUGAUACAGUGUGAAAAGAUUUAUCAGCAUAAGAUGGACCCGCGUCUGAUUAGCUAGUUGGUGAGGUAACAGCUCACCAAGGCGACGAUCAGUAGCCGACUUGAGAGAGUGAUCGGCCACAUUGGGACUGAGACACGGCCCAA